UGAUAUGCUAUGCUUACAGACUGGAGCCUA
rnacentral:piRNA from 1 species